UGUGUUUGUGUAUAUAGUGAACACAGUGUGUGUAUUCAUUAUACACACACUGCAUUCACUAUGCACACAGUCUGC